GACCUGAUAGCACAAUUGGAUAGUGCACUUGAUGAGUUUAUGUCAGUUGGAACCAGUAAGUAGGUGAUUCCCGUUCGAUUCCGGGGUCAGGUCG